AGGAUAAACGCUGGCGGCGUGCAUGAGACAUGCAAGUCGAACGGACGAUCAGGGCUUGCUCUGAUCGUUAGUGGCGGACGGCUGAGUAACGCGUAGGUGACCUGCCCCGAAGUGGGGAAUAACUGCCCGAAAGGGUGGCUAAUACCGCAUGUGGUGGUGUGUUCAUUCACACCAGUAAAGCCGCAAGGCGCUUCGGGAGGGGCCUGCGUCCGAUUAGCUCGUUGGUGGGGUAACGGCUCACCAAGGCGACGAUCGGUAGGUGGUCUGAGAGGACGAUCACCCAGACUGGGACUGAGACACGGCCCAGACUCCUACGGGAGGCAGCAGUCGGGAAUUUUGCGCAAUGGACGAAAGUCUGACGCAGCAACGCCGCGUGAGUGAUGAAGGCCUUAGGGUUGUAAAGCUCUUUCGCGCGCGACGAUAAUGACGGUAGCGUGAGAAGAAGCCCGGCUAACUCGUGCCAGCAGCCGCGGUAA
rnacentral:rRNA from 1 species